ACAGAGCUUCAUCAACGCUCUAUUCACCCGACAAGCCCAUCGGAGAGCGCUCAAAAAGCAUCUAUGUCCUCCUCAGUCUCAAGCCGAAUAGCUUCUAAUCCUGCACGUCUAGGGCCUUGACCAAACCAAACGCCGCGCCAGCAGCAAAGCCACCAACAAUCAUGGUGCUGAUAGCGCCGUAGGCGUAACCAUACCAUCCGCCAGUGGCGCCGGUAAAAGUAAAGAAGACCCUCUUCGGCCGUAGAAGUAGCCAUGUAAGGGAUUAGGGGAAUAAGGCCACCAAUGAAGUAAGAGAGGCCUAUAGUGAGGGCAGAAACAUACAGUCGAGAAACGGGGACUUCCUCUGAAGUAGUAGUUAGCAGCAAUUCUGGGACCGAAAAUGGAACAUUAACUUACCCAUGCCUUCACCGAACUUGAGCAAGAAUGCAGUCAUG
rnacentral:sRNA from 1 species